ACCUGAUAACCCUAAUACACAAUCUCACUAACGGCGCAACCAAAGUUACCAAACCAUGGCGAAACCCUAGCAGAGGCAGAGGCGCAGAGCUUCCUCCUACCACGUAACCAGCUUGGCAGCUUCUCCAAUCUUCAUCGUCUUCUCCAUUAGGCGUCAGGCUCGUCUUCUCCAUUAGGCGUCAGGCGCAUCGUCUUCUCCACCUCGUCCGUGGGACCAUCAGGUGUAUCGUCUUCCUCGUAGCGGCAGUGACGCAGCAAUCAACUUUGUCCCGGUCAUUGGCAUCUCAUUCGGUAUCUCUGUCAGCAUCGUUGUUCGCGGUUCCCUCUCCAGCAGCCAGCUUCGUCUUCAGCCAGCCGUUCCCUCUCCAGCAGCCAGCUUCCUCCAGGGCCCAGGCUCCAGCGUCGUCUUCUCCAGUCACUCAUUCAGAUUCAAAAAAAUGGGGGAAAACUAACCCUAAAAGUGAUUCGGUUGUUGGAAGUACUUCUUCUCCAAGUGCAGCCACUCCCACUGUUGAGAACGAUGUUCUUUCUGGUGGAACAUCGCAAAGUCCAGCUCCCCCAAAGUUGCCUGCCUCAAAUCCUUCAUCAGAAACACAAACCAAAGCUGCUGGAACUACUGGCGAGCCUCCAAAAGAGAGCUCUCAGCUUUAACAAUAUCUAAUCAAGCCAUUGGAGUUGAUGUUAUUUACAACAAUUUGAGGUUACAACUCCUCUCUUGAAUAUGCUUGGUUAAUGGAGUAAAGGAUUAUGGAGUGAAGACUUUGAAAAACAAAUAUUUCUAUUGCACUUUUGUAUUGAGCUUCUAAUGUUUAGAUUUUAUUGUGUUUUGGUUUUAGCUUUUUUCAAAGAUUAUUCACUAGACUUUUGUAUUUAACUUCUAAUAUUUCUAUUGCACUUUUAUAUUUUCAUUAGACAAGAUUAUUCACUAUUAAUAUGUUUAGAUUUUGAUGAGUU